AGGGCGUCUUCUCUGGUCACUCCAGGGUAGCCACUGUCAGCCCCUGCACAGGGGUUCAUGGUGCCCCUGGUGCCAUCUGUCUGAGCUCCCAGCUCUGGCCUAAAUCACUCGCAGUCAGCUGGUCCCAGACAAUAAAGGAACAGGAGUGUGGCCAGAAGGGAGAAAAACCUGUGGGAGGCACCAGGGCUCUGCUGAGACGAGAUCUCCACGCCACGGUUGCUUUCAAAUCGAGGGAGAAUGUUCCCAAGCAGCCUGGGAGGCAGGUGUGACCUGAGGUCUCCAGGUACAAAAUAAGGCCAAAGGUGCCAGAGGCUGCAGGAGCAAGAGCAGGCAGAGUGUGGCACUGCACUCUGGGACCCUCUGUAGCCUGACUGAGGCCCCUCUGUGUGGAUCAGAGAUGGCUGGAGGCCACUGCUGGCCCUGCAGUCCGAGCACAGGUGAGGACAAGGACGCAGCUGUACACACUCUGGCACUGCAUGGCUGAGGACUGGAUCAGAGGUUACCAGAUCAGCCUGCGAGCAGAGCCAGGCGGCAAACAGAGCCCUCCUCCGUGAGUAGCCUUGGACACGUGCCCCCGUCCAAGGUCCGGCUUCUGCCGCUAUCACAUAGCAGGAUUUGCUAAUCACCCGUUCUGUUCCGGAACUCGGAAGACCUGGUCCUCUUUGUAUCACCUCUAGAGCUAUUUUUCAUCAUGGCUUUGCCAAGCUCUUCUGUCACAACUGGAAAAGAUCUGGCAACGCCUAGAACCCUGAUGUAGAAAGUCCAGGCAGCCAGAUGGCAGCAGUGAGCCCCCUCCUCAGGCCCGAAUCAGGCCUGAGUUCACGCACUCUCUGCAAGAGUGCGUAUCAAUAGUCCCUGUCACUCCUGCAGCUUCACUCAGUGGCUUUUGGGGUCACUCUGUGUUUCCAGUCAAAGCUCAAUCUCACUUCCUAAGCAAAGCCCUUCCCUGCCCCUCAGAGCCUGGCCCCUCUGCCACCCUGUGAUGCCACCUGAGCAGUGCCCUGCACAUGAGGAAAGCCCCGACAGUCACCCUUUGCCUACUCCCUGUACCUCACAGCAAGGGCCAGGGAUUCUGAGCUUCCUGUGCCGGCCUCCCUAGGUCUGGAGGAAUGGGGUGGGGCGUUCUCACAUCCCAGCCUCUGAGGCAGGCUACUCCUUGAGAGUAAUAGCAGGAACCUAGCAGGAUUAUCUGAAGCAACUGGCGCACCUCAGGCACCUUGAUUGGCCACAGUUGGCAGCUGUGCGAUGCUGUGCACUGCACGCCUCCCAGGUCAUUUCUCCUCCACAUACCAGAGAUCGCAUCUGACCACAGUGCUCUGGCAGGUGGUAGGCCAGCGUCAGCACAGAAGUCUACAACAAGGUUGGUCCACUCCCGUUUCUAGGCAGACGUCAGACCCCUCUCUUCCCAGACUGGCAAGCACUGCUCCUAUUUUGUUUCAAGAAUCCAAGCAGACAGAAACCAAGGGCUAAGUCCACGGCCCCUGCCGGAAUUAGCCACAUCUCACCUAAUCAGCCGUGGUGGAGCUCUCACCCUGCCUUAGUCUUUCUAGUGCCUCAGCUGGGAACGUCUGUCGGGAAUGGAGGGUCACAGAGAGGCCCUCAGGAACCGGACCACUGUGCAAGGGAGAAUGAAGGUGGAGAGGAGGGGUCCCAGGGAACCUCCGAGUUCCAUGCUAGGACUCUCUGACUCUGCCUUUCAGGGCCGCACAUGAGAGUUUAAAGCGGGGGCACUAAAAUAACCCCGAGGGUGGCUGGCAAAACCCAGCAACCCUGUAAUGAAAAAGGAUCUUGAGACCAUAAUGCAAAGUGAAAUCAAUCAGAAACAGGUUAAAUAUUGCUCUGAUAUGAGACCCCAAGUAUAAAUAAUUUAUAAAGCAAAAUAAAAGGGAGAUGGCAGGAAACAGG
ensembl:lncRNA